UAGUCCACGCCGUAAACGAUGUCUACUAGCUGUAGGGGUACUUGAGACCUUUGUAGCGCAGCUAACGCAAUAAGUAGACCGCCUGGGGAGUACGGCCGCAAGGUUAAAACUCAAAUGAAUUGACGGGGGCCCGCACAAGCAGUGGAGCAUGUGGUUUAAUUCGACGCAACGCGCAGAACCUUACCAACCCUUGACAUACUUGUCGCGGAUUCCAGAGAUGGAUUCCUUCAGUUCGGCUGGACAAUGUACAGGUGCUGCAUGGCUGUCGUCAGCUCGUGUCGUGAGAUGUUCGGUUAAGUCCGGCAACGAGCGCAACCCACGUCCUUAGUUACCAGCAUUUAGUUGGGUACCCUAAGGAGACUGCCGGUGAUAAGCCGGAGGAAGGUGUGGACGACGUCAAGUCAUCAUGGCCCUUACGGGUUGGGCUACACACGUGCUACAAUGGCAUCUACAGUGAGUUAAUCUCCAAAAGAUGUCUCAGUUCGGAUUGGGGUCUGCAACUCGACCCC
rnacentral:rRNA from 1 species